GUGAAGCGACGUGGACGUGAAAAGGCAGCUUUUCCACACAGUGAUCUAAGAAUUACUGACGAUCACGCCGUGUAAGAAAAUAAUUAUGACGUGUCUAGCUAGCUAAACUAUAAUGAAUUCCUUUCAAAUUAUAAAGGUGGCGCAGGCGUCCAACAAGCAGACGCAGCGUUGACGAAGCCAGGAAAACAACAUGAAAUGUGGUUACUGUGUUUACAUUUCUGUCGGCUACGACUGCUACGACUCGUAGUUAAACGGUUAAACAUUCUUCUGUUCUGCAGUCAAGUAUAGGCGAAGAUCGAACGUCGUUGGUGUGUUCGCAAUGUGCGGAUGACGCAUCGAAAGUGACCAUAGAAAGCGCCCAGCCAAGGUCCGGAUCGCAGUGAAUGUAUACGCGCCCUCGAAUCGGGGAAAUCGGCGCCAGCGAAGGCGGACGGACGCCUCUACGCAACGAGGAGAGGCCUCUGCUCAACUGCGUCGUCAUAGCAGCAUUCACGCUGCGGCUGUUCAUCCUGGCGCGGAGCUGAAGGCCGUGAAAACUAUGCAUAUGAGCAACAACACACACUAUAUAUUCACUCGUAUGGCACGACGUACCUACUCCACACAAUUGCAAUACCUGUACAGGGGCCCGGAGAGAGCAAAAUGUAUAUGGAGAAGAAAUUCGCACUCAGCAUGUAGCCGACCAUUCCAAAGGAUCUUCCAACACCCCAUUUGCUUCAAAUCAGGAGUUAAAAAAAAAAAAAACGCGAAUUUCAUCCAUGAUGUACGCCACAUCAGCGCUGUCUACUCUUAUACGCGAUGUAUUUUUGAGGAGUGCCGAAAAUUAUUAAAUAUAGAGCGCUCAAAAUAAAAACGCGAUCUUUUUAAAGAAGCCGGACAAUAGAGAACGGCGGACUUCGGAAAACAGACUACGGUCCUAUUUUUCUCGCUAAUUAGUUAUAUGCACUAAUUAACCUUAACUAUCGCGUUUAUAUGGCUUCACAGAAUGUAAACUUCCUGGCAAUUGACGCCGUGAUCUUAUAUAUGUUUUCAAAUUGCGCUAUAAGUCCUCCUCCUCGGUCCUGCAUGCUGCAGAAGAAAUUUUCUUACAUCUUCCGCUGGGAAACUGAAACUGGGCGCAUGUGGGGAAACCACGUGUGCAAACCGUACCACGCAAUGCGAGCCACCUUCAUUACUUCGAUGUGGCGAUUACGGCUUAUGAAGUAUCCUUGGCUUCACUGUGACGUUGGCACUGCAGAAUAUGGGCAAUGACCUAUCAUUGACCCCGCUAAUGUAAUUCUUUCCUUACUGCAAGAAAUGUGCUCAUUUUCGGUGACUUUAUGUUUUAACGUUUUAUUUCAAAGACGUAGUAGUCGCAGCGUAUGUGACACAUAAAACCACAGCCUGUUCACUGAUGUUUUGAAUGGAUGUAAAGCAACAAUACGUCGAUUUGGGCGAGUUGGUUUAUCUUGACGGUGUACACAAACCGCGCUAAAGACGAAGACGACAGGAACACAUAUAUACGAUAGGACGGGCGCUGAACUUCCAACUAGCGUUUAUUUGAAACGAUCGUCCAUUUUAUGCUCUUCACACCAGGUACUUCAUGCACGCAUCAUCAUAGCGAAGAUUGUAUGCAUCGGAGCGACGGUAACGCUCCGCCGUCCACUGCUGGCAUGGGCGCUAAGUCAAUCAGUUCAUACAUAAGAUUGCAUAGUCAAUAUUUUCGCGUGUCUAUAUACCUAUAUUUCUUUCGACGUACCUAUAUAGACUCGUAAAAGCACUGACUAUACAAUCUUAUGUAUGAGAUGACUGAGUUAUACAAGAUUUUACAUGAUGAUGCGUGCAUGUUGUACCUGAAGCGCAGAGCAUAAAAUGGAUAAUCGUUUCAAAUAAACGCCAGUUGGAAGUUCAGUGCCCGUUCUUCUUUAGCGCGUUUUGUGAACACUGUCAAGAUGUAAAGCAGUAAUAACUGUGGAGGCAGUUUUUUAGAAUGAUUAUGUUAAACUUGAGACGAACACCUCUAGGAACAUCACCGAAAACAAUAAGUACAGAGAGUAAAAAAAAUUCAGAAAUAUAAACAAAAUAUGCGCCUGACUCCUAAUGCUCAACUUUUGAAGUCAGACCACGCAAUAAAAUAUUAUGCAAAUUUAUUGGCGUCAAUAUUAGCCACAGUGGUGUCCAUCCUAUGCGGGAAAGCAGUAGCUUCACAAAUGUGAAAACGGGUAAGUUCAUAUGGCACAGGGAACAUUUGUUUUUGUAAUUGCAGGAGGCACCUGGCUCGUUUUUUGGUGCAUUCUUUUGGCUCUCGAAGCAGUGGUUGUCAGGUCAAGGAGUAUGCACAAGCCUCCUCGUACUUGAUUAGUUGAUUAUUGCGGUCGAUCAUCUUUUCUGUGCAAGCAAGUUCGCCUAUAGGUACUAGGCCAUGAAAAAACGAGAUCAGGAUGUUAUAGUUCUGAAGAAACCAUUUAAGAGAAGUAGCUCUUAUCGUCUACCUCGUGGGACAAAAUUUCCAGAAGUUUACACUGUCAUGUAUAGUGCGCGCUCAACUAGCGCUGGAGCCUCCAUCUGCUUUGUUCAGUUCCUGCACAGUACUGUACAGCAAUGUGGAGUGUUUCACAACACUGUGUAGUAAUGAAUAAGGACAGUCGCACAAGCGGGGUUGCAAAUGUGAGAGAAUUAAUACACUGGUAGUCAAGCUAUGGCCGAAGGCCGGUCUGAAACCGACUGCGUGCUGUUGUGCUAGUGAAAACACCACACAACGGGAAGGAUUACUCGUAAUAAGGUGUCAAAACGCUGAUUAAAGCAAACCACGAUGGGAAAAGUAAAGUUGCACUUUAUAUCAGUCGAAUAAAGUUAUCAAAGCGUGUUCUUGUGAGAGUGAAAUCCCCGCACGACGGGAAGGAUUGCUUUUAAUAGUUUGUACAUACGCUGUCGAAUGGAUAAAGACAAUCCACUAUGGGAAAAGACGCACUCAUGAGCAUCUGCCGUUGUUUCAGACAUCGUUAAAACAGCUUAGACGUCGAUCGGAAAAUUAGACAACCCGACAGAAGGUCCUAAGCGCAUUCUUUUUUUUUUGUUUGUUCGAUUGACGAAGUGCUAGGAGAAAUGCACGCUAGUUUCGACGACAGCUGCAGUCAAGGUUUUAUUCUUUCAGACUCCCCAAUAUGCCAACAACUGUCAAAUCUGACCAAUAGCUUAAGUUGAAUCGUCAUUUAACAUGGCGCGUAGCGUUGGUAGUAGAAUCAUUCCAACAGACAUGUUUGAGAACGCGUAGGAAAAAACUAUGGAUGAAAUUGAUCGGUUGCUAUAGGCCUGGUAAUUGCUAUAGGCCCUACCGCGCGCCCGCAAGUAAAAUUCUAGACAAGUGCGACAAAAGAGCUAGUGCACUACGCUUCGUUUUGGCGCAUCGAUGACGUGUGAAGAAAGUGCCCACCACGAACCUACAGAGUACUAAUACACUGUAAAACGACGAAAUAAAAAAGAUGGUUCGGCUCACGUGA